rnacentral:rRNA from 1 species
UACAGAGGGGGCAAGCGUUGUUCGGGAUUCCUGGGCGUAAAGGGCGCGUAGGCGGCCUUCUAAGUCGAACGUGAAAUCCCCGGGCUCAACCCGGGAACUGCGUCCGAUACUGGAAGGCUUGAAUCCGGGAGAGGGAUGCGGAAUUCCAGGUGUAGCGGUGAAAUGCGUAGAUAUCUGGAGGAACACCGGUGGCGAAGGCGGCAUCCUGGACCGGCAUUGACGCUGAGGCGCGAAAGCGUGGGGAGCAAACAGG